UACGUAGGGUGCGAGCGUUGUCCGGAAUUAUUGGGCGUAAAGGGCUCGUAGGUGGUUUGUUAAGUCUGAUGUGAAAGCCCUGGGCUCAACCUGGGAAUUGCAUUGGAUACUGGCAGGCUAGAGUGCGGUAGAGGGUAGUGGAAUUCCCGGUGUAGCAGUGAAAUGCGUAGAGAUCGGGAGGAACAUCUGUGGCGAAGGCGACUACCUGGACCAGCACUGACACUGAGGCACGAAAGCGUGGGGAGCAAACAGG
rnacentral:rRNA from 1 species